GACGAACGCUGGCGGCGUGCUUAACACAUGCAAGUCGAACGGAAAGGCCCUGCUUUUGUGGGGUGCUCGAGUGGCGAACGGGUGAGUAACACGUGAGUAACCUGCCCUUGACUUUGGGAUAACUUCAGGAAACUGGGGCUAAUACCGGAUAGGAGCUCCUGCUGCAUGGUGGGGGUUGGAAAGUUUCGGCGGUUGGGGAUGGACUCGCGGCUUAUCAGCUUGUUGGUGGGGUAGUGGCUUACCAAGGCUUUGACGGGUAGCCGGCCUGAGCGGGUGACCGGCCACAUUGGGACUGAGAUACGGCCCAGACCCCUACGGGAGGCAGCAGUGGGGAAUAUUGCACAAUGGGCGGAAGCCUGAUGCAGCAACGCCGCGUGCGGGAUGACGGCCUUCGGGUUGUAAACCGCUUUCGCCUGUGACGAAGCGUGAGUGACGGUAAUGGGUAAAGAAGCACCGGCUAACUACGUG
rnacentral:rRNA from 1 species